CCCAGAUUCCUGCCUGUGUCACCACAGGUUUUCGGGAAUUACAAAUACAAAACAAUGCCAACUGGGAUGUGUAUAGUUUAUAUAGUGUGCCUAACACAGCGCUCUGCCUGUGUGACUUAAACUGUUGGCAUGUGAAGAAUCCAGGACAUGGAAUUGAUUUCCCAAGGCCUGGAUGUCAUAUUCUUAUCGAUACAAUUUUGAGCUAUGAACUGAAAAACCAAUAGUAUAAUAAGGGGCCAUAAAAACGUCAGUAUUGGCCCACAGUUAAGAGACAAUAAGCAACACAGCCAGCUGCUCCAGACAGCCAAGACAGCAGCCCCUCUCUCCUUAAGGCAGACACAAAGAAGUGUGUGCCCUUCGCCACAGGCUUGGAGAAGGCUCUGGAUGGGGCAAGAAUGCGGAAGUGACUUCCCCAAACAUCCUAAGCAUGAAGCUUGAACACGAAGAGCCUAAACUCCUUGGUGUAAGGUCUAUGUGUGUUUGAGGUCACACGCAGCACUAAGAGUACGCUACCAUCCACAAAGAGGGAAGAAAGGUGUGACGCCACCCCUCAGUCUGGACACAGAGCCUGCCAGGCAGGACAGCACUGCUGCUUUCCUAGAAUAAGACACACAAAGGAGCACCAUGGAGAUCUGCUCUUGGGCCGGUGAAGAAAUAUCCACAACCCCUCUGUGUACCAGGAGGAUUCUUGUGCAGGGGCCCUACCCGCAUCUGAGGAGGUGGAAGAAAUGAUGUGUGAGCUAUUAUCAAAAGGGAAUACUGUUUAAAAGCUAAUA